rnacentral:rRNA from 1 species
GAUGAACGCUGGCGGCGGGCCUAAUACAUGCAAGUCGAGCGAACGGACGAGAAGCUUGCUUCUCUGAUGUUAGCGGCGGACGGGUGAGUAACACGUGGAUAACCUACCUAUAAGACUGGGAUAACUUCGGGAAACCGGAGCUAAUACCGGAUAAUAUUUUGAACCGCAUGGUUCAAAAGUGAAAGACGGUCUUGCUGUCACUUAUAGAUGGAUCCGCGCUGCAUUAGCUAGUUGGUAAGGUAACGGCUUACCAAGGCAACGAUGCAUAGCCGACCUGAGAGGGUGAUCGGCCACACUGGAACUGAGACACGGUCCAGACUCCUACGGGAGGCAGCAGUAGGGAAUCUUCCGCAAUGGGCGAAAGCCUGACGGAGCAACGCCGCGUGAGUGAUGAAGGUCUUCGGAUCGUAAAACUCUGUUAUUAGGGAAGAACAUAUGUGUAAGUAACUGUGCACAUCUUGACGGUACCUAAUCAGAAAGCCACGGCUAACUACGUG